UACGUAGGGUCCGAGCGUUGUCCGGAGUUACUGGGCGUAAAGCGCGCGCAGGCGGCGGUGCUGGCCCGGCGUGAAAGCCCCCGGCUCAACCGGGGAGGGUCGUCGGGGACCGCACCGCUUGAGGGCGGUAGGGGCUGGUGGAAUGCCUGGUGUAGUGGUGAAAUGCGUAGAGAUCAGGCGGAACACCCGUGGCGAAGGCGGCCAGCUGGGCCGUCCCUGACGCUGAGGCGCGAAAGCUAGGGGGAGCGAACAGG
rnacentral:rRNA from 1 species